ensembl:lncRNA
UUUUUUUGAAGAUGACUCAGGUUGCUCCAGGUCAAAGCAUGAUCCUGAUGACACUUGUUGGAAAAGCAGGCUGGAGCCUCAGAAGAGCUGGCCCUGCAGCUCUUCUUACAGCAGUUAAUCCAGGAUUUGAACACCAGCGAGUAAGGCGAGAGCCCAGCCUGGGCCCACAGUUGUUCACAGCCAUGAGGCUGCCGACCAGCAGGAAAGGGGAGGUCAGCAUGCUCACUGCAAUCUCCAUCACAAACUUGAUGUAGCUCUGGAUGGACAGGGCCUGGCCUAACUGGGAACCCCAAUUCUGGUCAUUUCUCAGCCCCCCUAGGUGUCAAUCAUGCUGUCAUCUACCAGGUAGUCAUUGAUAAAAGUGGGCCAGCAGGUUAUAGCUUCACAAGAAAACUAUUUCACCCAGGAGAUGAAAGAUCAAGCCAACAAAGAAUCCCAGCAGCCCUUCCUCUUUGAAAAUCUUCUCAGUGGAGCUCAGGACACCACUGUACUUGACCUCCCAUCCCACAAAUUAGACCAUGCAGCACAUUGAGAUGGCAUGCAGGGGGUGGGCCAACAUACAGGACACACACUGCAUCAUCAUCCCCUAGGAGGUCUCCUUCACUGCCUGCUUCAGAGAAGUCUUCAUAUCCAUCCUUAUUGGAAACCUGCUUGAUUUCAUCUGGAGGGAAAACCUUCCUGCUGCCCCCGUUACAAAGGAGAGGGGUCACAUCAGUCAGAGGCUCAGACCUCGGAACAGCCCUGUCUUGCCAUCCAUCCCACCCAUGCCCACUGCCACAAACAGCUUCAGUGGUCAGGGAGUUGUCUUCAGGCCCCAGGCCCCACCAUCCAUUCUGCUGGCCAAGGGUAGCAUGGAUGUGCAUGGGCACUCUCGACCUUCACUGCAAGUUCCUGCUCCACCUCCAGCUCCUGCCAUCUCCGUGGCACUACCACAAGCCUGGGGCCAGAAAUUUUAACAAUCACAGCAUUGUUUAUGGUGGCAAAAAUUGGGGAAAAAAUCUGAAUGUACAUUAUGCCAGUUAUUUAUUGCCUUUCAGUUCCAAAUCCACCAUUGAUUGCUUGCUGUACCAUAAUGAAGCUGGGCCCUGUAAGCAUUUCUUCCUCGUUAGUGGAAUGCUAACAUUUUGUCAGUAGAGGGCCUUCGGAGGAUACUACAAGAGGAAGGGCUUACUCUUCCUAGUUCCAGUGUGUGUCUAUUCCUGAUUCUGUUCUAGGCUGCCAAUGGCAUGUGUGAGAACUUCUAGUGGCACUCACGCUGUCAAGUAUCAGUGGCUCCACUGCGGACUGCUUCCACACCUGUGUCACUGAGACAAUUUUCCAGUGAGUUCCACCAGCACCCAUUGCCAACGUUAGCCUGCAGCAGCUCAUUAGACCACUACCGUCCAGUUGGUCAUGUCCACAACUCCUCCAACAUGUUUUGGAUCUCAGCCCUGGAGGGGAUGGGACUAUUCCAAAUUUAUUUCUUCCUUUGGGUACUUUGCCUCAGCCCUAGAGGUAGUGACUCCUCCCUAUAUAUGCUGUUCCUGUAAUAUGUAACACUUUCUAUCCCUUCUAUAGUCAGUCACUUGCUCCUAGUUGAUAAUUCCCUUUAUUAAAAUUUUCAAUUUACUGUGUGGUUUUCUGUCUCCUGACUGGACUUAACCUACUGUAUCACUGGGAGCAAGAUGAAAUAAAGUAGAAUAUUAUGCAAGAAUUAAGAAUAAUGUAAGCUAGGCACAGUGGCUCAUGCCUGUAAUCUCAGCACUUUGGGAGGCCGAGGCAAGAGGCUAACUUGAGCCCAGGAGUUUGAGACCUGCCUGGUCAACAUAGCAAGAUCUUACCUUUACAAAAAAAAAAAAAAAAAAAA